UACGUAGGUGGCAAGCGUUGUCCGGAUUUACUGGGUGUAAAGGGAGCGUAGACGGCGAUGCAAGUCUGAAGUGAAAGCCCGGGGCUCAACCCCGGGACUGCUUUGGAAACUGUAUGGCUGGAGUGCUGGAGAGGCAAGCGGAAUUCCUAGUGUAGCGGUGAAAUGCGUAGAUAUUAGGAAGAACACCAGUGGCGAAGGCGGCUUGCUGGACAGUAACUGACGUUGAGGCUCGAAAGCGUGGGGAGCAAACAGG
rnacentral:rRNA from 1 species